ACCAAAUCUGUGUAACGAAAUUUGUGAUACAAUUGUGGACCAUGUAAUAAACCAUGGAAUAACACUGAGGGAGGCUGGACUGAGAGUACAGCCUAACCUAAGCAGGCACACCAAUCAUCAACACAAUCAUCAAUAGUUCGGACAUUUCGUCAAGAGCACAGGAUUGAAUGUCAAGAACACCAAGGAUGGAGGGGCCCCAUAUUCACACAGGAGCAAGAGAGCGAGAUCAUAAACCUCGUUUUGGCCAAUAAUGCAAUCAGACUUAGAGAAAUUCAAGCCCAUAUUGUCAAUGAUCACUCAAUUUUCAAUAAUGUCCAACAGGUCUCUCUGUCAACAAUAGUCCGUAUCCUUAAAAAAUAUCAAGUUCUGAUGAAACAACUGUAUAACAACUGUAUAUGUUGUGAGAGUUUUGCAAAUGGAGAUGGAGGAAGUCCCGCAUGAGUUUAUAUACAUUGAUGAGGCUGGAUUUAACCUGACAACAGUGAGAAGAAGGGGAAGAAACAUAAUAGGCCACAGGCCUGUUGUCAAUGUACCAGGGCAACGUGGGGGUAACAUUACCCUUUGUGCUGCCAUUACACAGAAUGGGGUCCACUACCGCCACGCCAACUUGGGUCCUUACAACACUGACCUCAUUCUUACAGUACAUUUGUAGACAGAUAGACAGAUACUUACAGUACAAUGGUACGUUCAGUAAUGCGGUAUGAAAACUGGAAAAUGUUUUGUUAUGAAUGUUUUGUUGAAAUGUUCAGUAUUGACUGUCUUGUGUACAUGAAAUAAAUAUUUUCAUUAGUCUGCA
ensembl:lncRNA